CUACGGGGGGGCUGCAGUGAGGAAUAUUGCACAAUGGGGGGAACCCUGAUGCAGCAACGCCGCGUGGAGGAUGACGCAUUUCGGUGUGUAAACUCCUUUUAUAUGUCAAGAAAAUGACGGUAGCAUAUGAAUAAGCACCGGCUAACUCCGUGCCAGCAGCCGCGGUAAUACGGAGGGUGCAAGCGUUACUCGGAAUCACUGGGCGUAAAGGACGCGUAGGCGGGUUGGAAAGUCAGGUGUGAAAUCCUACAGCUUAACUGUAGAACUGCACUUGAAACUUCUAAUCUAGAGUAUGGGAGGGGGAGAUGGAAUUAGUGGUGUAGGGGUAAAAUCCGUAGAUAUCACUAGGAAUACCUAAAGCGAAGGCGAUCUCCUGGAACAUUACUGACGCUAAGGCGUGAAGGCGUGGGGAGCAAACAGGAUUAGAUACCCUAGUAGUC
rnacentral:rRNA from 1 species